CAAUCUCUACAAGGGAUUACCGUGGCCACAGAGAAAUAUUUCAGGGAAUAGGAAAUUACAGCGAUGUGGAGCCAGCCCCUACCUCCAGAGAGCAGGUUUGCAUCAGAAGACUCCUGUUGGAUUCUUCUGUGGACUGGACCUAGAUCUGCUUCUUGACUUUGCCCUGUGGAUUUUCCCAUCUUCCUUCGUCAGCUCCGAUCUGAUCUCCUGUCAGUUCUGCAGCCUUCUAGGCUCUCUGAACUCUCUGGCAAAAUCCACUGCAUCUGUUCAGCCGACCGGCUAGAAUCACCCUUUUUCUCUGUGCACGGACUGAACUGUCAAACCAGGGCUGGGGCGUCUGGAACUCUCUGGGCGGCAUUCGCCAAGUCUUGCUGACAGCCGACCACUUGGAAUCUACCUUAUCCUCAGGGCACAGGCUCAACAUUAAGACCAGGU